AUUGAACGCUGGCGGCAGGCCUAACACAUGCAAGUCGAACGGUAACAGGAAGCAGCUUGCUGCUUUGCUGACGAGUGGCGGACGGGUGAGUAAUGUCUGGGAAACUGCCUGAUGGAGGGGGAUAACUACUGGAAACGGUAGCUAAUACCGCAUAACGUCGCAAGACCAAAGAGGGGGACCUUCGGGCCUCUUGCCAUCGGAUGUGCCCAGAUGGGAUUAUCUAGUAGGUGGGGUAACGGCUCACCUAGGCGACGAUCCCUAGCUAGUCUGAGAGGAAGACCAGCCACACUGGAACUGAGACACGGUCCAGACUCCUACGGGAGGCGGAGGUGGGGAAUAUUGCACAAUGGGACCAAGCCUGAUGCAGCCAUGCCGCGUAUAUGAAGAAGGCAUUCGGGUUGUAAAAUACUUUCAGCGGGGAGGAAGGGAGUAAAGUUAAUACCUUUACUCAUUGACGUUACCCGCAGAAGAAGCACCGGCUAACUCCGUG
rnacentral:rRNA from 1 species